ensembl:lncRNA
AACAAGUUCCCUUUAUUUAACCAGGUAGGCUAGUUGAGAACAAGUUCCCUUUAUUUAACCAGGUAGGCUAGUUGAGAACACCUUUAUUUAAUCAGGGAGGCUAGUUGAGAACAAGUUCCCUUUAUUUAACCAGGUAGGCUAGUUGAGAACACCUUUAUUUAAUCAGGUAGGCUAGUUGAGAACAAGUUCCCUUUAUUUAAUCAGGUAGGCCAGUUGAGAACAAGUUCCCUUUAUUUAACCAGGUAGGCUAGUUGAGAACAAGUUCCCUUUAUUUAACCAGGUAGGCUAGUUGAGAACAAGUUCCCUUUAUU